GAAAUCCACGCUAAUACCGCAUAUGUCCUACGGGACAAAGCAGGGGACCUUCGGGCCUUGCGCUAUUGGAUGAGCCUAUGUCGGAUUAGCUAGUUGGUAGGGUAAAAGCCUACCAAGGCAACGAUCCGUAGCUGGUCUGAGAGGAUGAUCAGCCACACUGGGACUGAGACACGGCCCAGACUCCUACGGGAGGCAGCAGUGGGGAAUAUUGCACAAUGGGCGCAAGCCUGAUGCAGCAAUGCCGCGUGUGUGAAGAAGGCCUGCGGGUUGUAAAGCACUUUUAUUAGGAAAGAAAAACCCGGAGCUAAUACCUCCGGCAUUGACGGUACCUAAAGAAUAAGCACCGGCUAACUCAGUGCCAGCAGCCGCGGUAAUACUGAGGGUGCAAGCGUUAAUCGGAAUUACUGGGCGUAAAGCGAGUGUAGGCGGCUAUUUAAGUCGGAUGUGAAAGCCCUGGGGCUCAACCUGGGAAUUGCAUUCGAAACUGAAUAGCUAGAGUUUGGUAGAGGUAAGUGGAAUUCCGGGUGUAGCGGUGAAAUGCGUA
rnacentral:rRNA from 1 species